CAGAGCCAGCAGUGGCAACCCGUUUGGGUCCCCUUUCACACUGUGGAGGCUUUGUUCUUUCGCUCUUUGCAAUAAAUCUUGCUACUGCUCACUCUUUGGGUCCACACUGCUUUUAUGAGCUGUAACACUCACCGCGAAGGUCUACAGCUUCACUUGUGAAGCCAGCGAGACCACGAACCCACCGGGAGGAAAGAACAACUCCAGACGUGCCGCCUUAAGAGCUGUAACACUCACCGCGAAGGUCUGCAGCUUCACUCCUGAGCCAGCGAGACCACGAACCCACCAGAAGGAAGAAACUCCGAACACAUCUGAACAUCAGGAGGAACAAACUCCCGACACACCGCCUUUAAGAACUGUAACACUCACCGCGAGGGUCUGCGGCUUCAUUCUUGAAGUCAGUGAGACCAAGAACCCACCAAUUCCAGACACACUGGGACCAGCAAUUCCCCUGUGGCGUGAGCUGGUUUAAAUGCUCUCUCCAGGGACAGGUGUCAGCUGAGUUUGGUCUGCUUAUUAUUUCUGCUUUAACAAGGCAGCACUGAGUUCAAUGCCUUACAACUGCUGAGUUCUCCUCUCCAAUGCACAGAAACGCUCUCCAGACUGCUGCUGCCGGGGGUUGGAGGAGGCAUGGCAUCAGUGAUUCAAGACUCUUUUUCAUACCUCUUCGGUGCUGCUUUCAGUGAUAUGAAGUUAAAACCUGGUAUUUGAUUUAUCCAUACACUAAAGAUAUGAAUGAGGCAUCAAAAGACAGAAGAAACGAUUGAGGCUAUAAAACUUGCCAACUACCUUGACCUUAGCCCAGUGGAACAGAAUUCAGACUCCUGACCACAAGAAUGUCCUCUAGGAAGCAGAAUCCAAGAUAAAGUAAGAAUGUGUGACAAUGUUUGGAGACUUCUGACUGUGAAAGACUGGGCAAGCGGGGGCAGCGAGAGCUUCAGCCCAUAGUAGAGAUGGAAAGAGAAUUGAGUAGAAGAGCCUCAGCCUGCGGUGCAACUGCGAGCGUCUUAGCCUGCCUAAUGGGAGCUUAUGGAGCAGAGGUGACCUACAGAGGGAAAAGCCAGCUGCCAUGUUGUGAAACACUCAAGCAGUCCCGACGGAGCUCCAGGUUGCCAGGAUCUGGAGCUUCUUCCAACAGCAAAGUGGGUGAGGCAUUCUGGCAGCAGAACCUCCAGACUCAUCAACCACCCGAUGAUAGCAGCGAGAGCAACAUGUUGACGGCAGCCUGAAGAGACUCUGAAUCAGACGACCGAGGUUUUUUGCAUGUCUGACACCCAUGGUUCCACC
rnacentral:lncRNA from 10 species